AUUUCUUCAACCCCUGCCGCACUUAGCAAACUGCACAACAGUGGGGCUAAACAUUUGCUGUCAGGGGCUUCAAGCAAUACUAGCAUUGACAUGUCAAGAGAAGUUGUCAUUCAAUGUUUGAUGGUGUAUCUUGGGGAUUCUAUAGAUCACCUCUUAAAAGAGUACAAUGACAAUGAUGGAGACACAGAACAUUGCUGAAGAAAGGAUAAAAAUCUACAAAAUCAAGAAUUAAAUGUCAGCAGGAUCUGACAACAUUGGUUUUCUUGGGUAAUUUUGCAAGGGUGUGUUAGUGUUAGUGUGUGUUGUGCUGGUAUGAGUGGAUCAGACACAGCAGCACCGAUGGAUGUUUUAAACACCUCACUGUCACUGCUGGACUGAGAAUCGUCCACCAACCAAAAAUAUCCAGCCAACAGCGCAGCGUGGGCAGCGUCCUGUGACCACUGAUGAAGGUCUAGAAGAUGACCAACUCAAACAGCAGCAAUCGAUGAGCGAUCGUCUCUGACUUUACAUCUACAAGGUGGACCAACUAGGUAGGAGUGUCUAAUAGAGUGGACAGUGAGUGGACACG